rnacentral:rRNA from 1 species
GACGAACGCUGGCGGCGUGCUUAACACAUGCAAGUCGAACGGAAAGGCCCUGCCUGUGUGGGGUGCUCGAGUGGCGAACGGGUGAGUCACACGUGAGCAACCUGCCCUUGACUUUGGGAUAACUUCAGGUAACUGGGGUUAAUAACGGAUAGGAGCUCCUGCUGCAGGGUGGGGGUAGGAACGUUUCGGCGGUUGGGGAUGGACUCGCGGCUUAUCAGCUUGUUGGUGGGGUAGUGGCUUACCAAGGCAUUGACGGGUAGCCGGCCUGAGUGGUGGACCGGCCACAUUGGACCUAGGAUAGGGCCCAGACUCCUACGGGAGGCAGCGGUGGGAAAUAUUGCCCAAUGGGCGGAGGCCUGUUGCGGCAACGCCGGGGGCGGAAUGACGGCCUUCGGGUUGUAAACCGCUUUCGCCUGUGACGAAGCUUGUGUGACGGUAAUUGGUGAAGAAGCACCGGCUAACUACGUG